rnacentral:rRNA from 2 species
AGAGUUUGAUCAUGGCUCAGGAUGAACGCCGGCGGUGUGCUAAUACAUGCAAGUCGAACGCGUUGGCCCAAUUGAUUGAUGGUGCUUGCACCUGAUUGAUUUUGGUCGCCAACGAGUGGCGGACGGGUGAGUAACACGUAGGUAACCUGCCCAGAAGCGGGGGACAACAUUUGGAAACAGAUGCUAAUACCGCAUAMCAACGUGUUCGCAUGAACAACGCUUAAAAGAUGGCUUCUCGCUAUCACUUCUGGAUGGACCUGCGGUGCAUUAGCUUGUUGGUGGGGUAACGGCCUACCAAGGCGAUGAUGCAUAGCCGAGUUGAGAGACUGAUCGGCCACAAUGGGACUGAGACACGGCCCAUACUCCUACGGGAGGCAGCAGUAGGGAAUCUUCCACAAUGGGCGCAAGCCUGAUGGAGCAACACCGCGUGAGUGAAGAAGGGUUUCGGCUCGUAAAGCUCUGUUGUUAAAGAAGAACACGUAUGAGAGUAACUGUUCAUACGUUGACGGUAUUUAACCAGAAAGUCACGGCUAACUACGUGCCAGCAGCCGCGGUAAUACGUAGGUGGCAAGCGUUAUCCGGAUUUAUUGGGCGUAAAGAGAGUGCAGGCGGUUUUCUAAGUCUGAUGUGAAAGCCUUCGGCUUAACCGGAGAAGUGCAUCGGAAACUGGAUAACUUGAGUGCAGAAGAGGGUAGUGGAACUCCAUGUGUAGCGGUGGAAUGCGUAGAUAUAUGGAAGAACACCAGUGGCGAAGGCGGCUACCUGGUCUGCAACUGACGCUGAGACUCGAAAGCAUGGGUAGCGAACAGGAUUAGAUACCCUGGUAGUCCAUGCCGUAAACGAUGAGUGCUAGGUGUUGGAGGGUUUCCGCCCUUCAGUGCCGGAGCUAACGCAUUAAGCACUCCGCCUGGGGAGUACGACCGCAAGGUUGAAACUCAAAGGAAUUGACGGGGGCCCGCACAAGCGGUGGAGCAUGUGGUUUAAUUCGAAGCUACGCGAAGAACCUUACCAGGUCUUGACAUCUUGCGCCAACCCUAGAGAUAGGGCGUUUCCUUCGGGAACGCAAUGACAGGUGGUGCAUGGUCGUUUUCAAG